AUUUAACUGACGAGUUUCAAAUAUGAUGAAACAAGUGUCUUAGAU
rnacentral:hammerhead_ribozyme from 1 species